rnacentral:rRNA from 1 species
AGAGUUUGAUCAUGGCUCAGGAUGAACGCUAGCGGCAGGCUUAAUACAUGCAAGUCGAGGGGCAGCGUGGUGUAGCAAUACACUGAUGGCGACCGGCAAACGGGUGCGGAACACGUACACAACCUCCCUUCAAGCGGGGCAUAGCCCAGAGAAAUUUGGAUUAAUACCCCAUAGAAUAUUGGAAAGGCAUCUUUUUGAUAUUAAAGAUUUAUCACUUGAAGAUGGGUGUGCGGCUGAUUAGGUAGUUGGCGGGGUAACGGCCCACCAAGCCUUCGAUCAGUAACUGGUGUGAGAGCACGACCAGUCACACGGGCACUGAGACACGGGCCCGACUCCUACGGGAGGCAGCAGUAAGGAAUAUUGGUCAAUGGACGAAAGUCUGAACCAGCCAUGCCGCGUGGAGGAUGAAGGUCCUCUGGAUUGUAAACUUCUUUUAUAUGGGACGAAAAAGGGGCUUUCUAGCUCAACUGACGGUACCAUAUGAAUAAGCACCGGCUAACUCCGUGCCAGCAGCCGCGGUAAUACGGAGGGUGCAAGCGUUAUCCGGAUUCACUGGGUUUAAAGGGUGCGUAGGUGGGUUGGUAAGUCAGUGGUGAAAUCUCCGGGCUUAACUCGGAAACUGCCAUUGAUACUAUCAGUCUUGAAUACCGUGGAGGUCAGCGGAAUAUGUCAUGUAGCGGUGAAAUGCUUAGAUAUGACAUAGAACACCAAUUGCGAAGGCAGCUGGCUACGCGAAUAUUGACACUGAGGCACGAAAGCGUGGGGAUCAAACAGGAUUAGAUACCCUGGUAGUCCACGCC